rnacentral:rRNA from 1 species
UCUGGUUGAUCCUGCCAGUAGUGAUAUGCUUGUUUCAAAGAUUAAGCCAUGCAUGUCUAAGUAUAAGCGAACUUAUACAGUGAAACUGCGGAUGGCUCAUUAAAACAGUUUGAAUUUAUUUGAUGAAUGUAUGAGAAUACUACUUGGAUAACCGUAGUAAUUCUAGAGCUAAUACAUGCAACGACGCCCGACCGUUUCACUACGGAAGGGCUGUAUUUAUUGGAUACCAAAACCAUCCUUCCCUCGGGAAGUUUUGUUUGAUGAUUCACAAUAACUGAUCGGAUCGCCACUGUGGUGGCGACAGGUCAUUCAACAUUCUGCCCUAUCAGCUUUCGAUGGUUGUGUAGUGGACAACCAUGGCCAUAACGGGUAACGGAGAAUCAGGGUUCGAUUCCGGAGAAGGAGCUUGAGAAUUGGCUACUACAUCUAAGGUAGGCAGCAGGCGCGCAAAUUACCCAAUCCCGAUUCGGGGAGGUAGUGACAAAAAAUAACAAUACCGGGCCUUUUUGGGCUUGGUAAUUGGAAUGAGGGAGAGUUAAACGGACCAUCGAGUAUCCAUUGGAGGGCAAGUCUGGUGCCAACAGCUGCGGUAAUACCAGCUCCAAUAGCGUAUAUUAAAGUUGUUGCAGUUAAAAAGCUCGUAGUUGGACUUGUGUGCGCUGUCCGCGGGUGGCCUGCGCCCAAAAGGGCGUUUCGGUUCGGCCCCGGUGGCGCCUUGAAAUCUGCAGCUGGGGGGACGUUGGCCUUAACUGGUCGGCGACCGCACGCCGGCUGCUCGGUUACUGUGAGAAAAUUAGAGUGUUCAAGGCAGGCAUUGGGUGCAAUUGAAUACAUUAGCAUGGAAUAAUAAAAUAUGGCUCCUGCCGUAUUUUGUUGGUUUUGACUGGUGGGAGUAAUGAUUGAUAGGGACGGUUGGGGGUGCUAGUAUUGAGCGGCCAGAGGUGAAAUUCAUGGAUUCGCUCAAGACUAACUUAUGCGAAAGCAUUCACCAAGGACGUCCUCUUUAAUCAAGAACGAAAGCUGGGGGAUCGAAGACGAUCAGAUACCGUCGUAGUCUCAACCAUAAACUAUGUCGACUUGGGAUCGGCGGUAGUUUUUUCAUUAAGACACUGUCGGGACCACGGGAGAAAUCAAAGUGUCUGGACUCUGGGGGAAGUAUGGUCGCAAGGCUGAAACUUGAAGGAAUUGACGGAAGGGCACCACCAGGAGUGGAGCCU